GACUCCUGCUGCAUUUCAGCUCAUGCUUUUAGAGUCUAAGACCGAGACGCUGUCAAAGGACCUCGAUAAAGUGUGAUGCUCUGGUGGGCGAAACCACAUUGCUGAAAGAAGCAGAUAAAGAGGACUUCACUGUAUGGAAAAGAACAGCUUGGACGUUCUUCAGAAUGUCUCCUUUUGUUCUCCAGGAAAGAACGGAAGUCAGAUGGAGUUAGAAUGACACGAGGGAAGAAGUUUGGAACAACAUGAGGGUGAGUAAACUGUGACAUAAUUUACAUUUAUGUUUUCAAUUCUUUAAUAAAAACUUUGGCUUUCAUGUUGAACUUUGUCAGUUUACCCGUGACACCAUAUUUCCCUCUAUAAGACUUUAUUCUCUGCAUUCAGAUACAAAGACUUAAUAAAGGCAGAGGAAAAGAAUAAUUCCUCAUUUCCUUAUUUCCCUACCCUGUCUCUCUCAGCUGGGUGAGGUGGUGUUUUGAUGGAGAUAAUUUUUCUCGCCCCUGGAGGCCUGUGCUGUUGUGUUGUGGCAUUAGGCAUGAAUUGUGGUUCGUUCCAGCAGAUUAUUAAAAUUCUUAAUCUCUUCCUCUUUUCACCGCCUCCCAUU